AUACUUACCUGGCAGGGGAGAUACCAUGAUCAUGAAGGUGGCUUUCCCAGGGCAAGGCUCACCCACUGCACUCCUAGUUGUGCUGACCCCUGUGAUUUCCCCAAAUGUGGGAAACUCGACUGCAUAAUUUGUGGUAAUGGGGGACUGCAUUUGUACUCUACCCUG
rnacentral:snRNA from 1 species